UCCUCCCUAUAUAGCGGAGGGUCGGGCUGAGGGUAAAGAAACGAGACUAGGCCCGAACAAACAAAUCCUUAAACAGCUUCAGGGGAAGAACAUCACUUAAAGAGAAGAAGAAAAUCACUUAAAAAGAAGAGACAAAAUAUGCCUGGUUCUGAGCCAAGAGAUCUGACUACAGGAGAGGUAGUAGCCUGUGUUGUCACUGUAGGUCUAUACUAUCUUUAUCUCAAGGCCAAGGGUGACGUCUAGCAAGAUACAAAAAGGCCAUUUGGCAUUGUUACAAAAUGCCGCUCAUGGAUAACCAAACAUUACUGCUUUUAUCGUAAUUUUUACCUACUUUUAAUGACAUUUCUAAGUAUACACUGAAAUUAUUUUUUACUUUAAUCAUUGAAUUUACAUUGUCAAAACAAAAUAGAGCAAACGAGUGCACGUGCAUGGCAUCAUUAGUAAGCUCUCGUACCCCCGCUCCCACAAGUUAUGGUCAAUAACAUGUAGAAGGGAUUUUCCCGGGGGAAAGUCCAAGUAUCGGCAAUUCUUGAGCAAUAACAAUUAAGUCGUGGGUUCCAACUAAGAAAAGAAGUGAAGGAUAACAAUAACAAUAAUGACAAAUGGACAGAUAUCAGACGAAGGAAAGAAGGUCAGAAAAGGUGCAAUGAUUGGAGGAGCCAGUGGGGCCGCCAUAGGAGUAAUAGGAGGACCAAUUGGAAUAGUCAUUGGAGGAGCAGUAGGGGCUGGAGUAGGUGCAUUAGUGGGGUAUCUGAAAUUUCAACACUCACACUAACAGCACAAGAAAUAUUAGUAUUGUACUGCUUGUACAUGUACAUGUAUGUCAAAAUUGUCAAACUGAGAAAUUUAACGAAGAUAUAAAAUAAAUGAA